rnacentral:rRNA from 1 species
GUGUCCAAUAAUGGGGGAUAACGAGUCGAAAGAUUCGCUAAUACCGCAUACGCCCUACGGGGGAAAGCAGGGGAUCGUAAGACCUUGCGUUAAUGGAGCGGCCGAUAUCUGAUUAGCUUGUUGGUGAGGUAAAGGCUCACCAAGGCGACGAUCAGUAGCUGGUUUGAGAGAACGACCAGCCACACUGGAACUGAGACACGGUCCAGACUCCUACGGGAGGCAGCAGUGGGGAAUUUUGGACAAUGGGGGCAACCCUGAUCCAGCCAUUCCGCGUGAGUGAAGAAGGCCUUCGGGUUGUAAAGCUCUUUCNCAAGGGAANAAAACUUAUGAUCGAAUANNC